GUCUCUUCCUCAGCAAACGCUGCUCCAGGUCGGCGCUCAAACACUGAGGCACGCCGGCCAGGGGUCCAUUCGCUGUUCCUAUGCACAGACUUCAAGACGCAAAUGAAAGCCUGGAAACUUGCAGGUAAGAGAAGAGGA